AGGACGAACGCUGGCGGCGUGCUUAACACAUGCAAGUCGAGCGGUAAGGCCUUUCGGGGUACACGAGCGGCGAACGGGUGAGUAACACGUGGGUGAUCUGCCCUGCACUCUGGGAUAAGCCUGGGAAACUGGGUCUAAUACCGGAUAUGACCUGCUCUCGCAGUGGGGGGUGGGUGGAAAGUAUUUAUCGGGUGCAGGAGUGGGCCCGCGGCCUAUCAGUCUUGGUUGGGUGGGUAAUGGCCUACCAAGGGCGACGACGGGU
rnacentral:rRNA from 1 species